GUCCAAAUGUCUUUCCUUUUCCAGAAAUGCUUUUCAAAAGCUGUUUAGAAUACAUGCCCUGUGCCUGUGUUGCAUUCUUCACUCGGUUGGCUCUUACCCAAGCAGGUUCCUCAGGAAGAAAGCGAGAUAACCCAAAUUUAAUCAGCAAGAGGAUGUGCUCCAAUAUGAGAAUUGCAGCCAGCCCAGGCUCUAUUUUCCAUUUUCCCUCCUUGUCAUAUAAGCAUACUAGUAGUG
rnacentral:misc_RNA from 1 species